CAUUUUGAUAGAAACAAAAAUAAAAAUAAAAUCAAGAGUGCAAGUGUGAGAAAGAGAGAAGGCACGUGGGAGAGAAGAGAAUGAAGGGGAGGAAGGAACUCGAUCUCAAACCUUAGGGAAAUCACCGCAAAAACAAAUUUUCAGGUAGGUGAUGAGUCAUAGCUGAUGCGUUCAGAUAGCUGUUGUUUUGCUAUUUAAUUGGAGUCGCUCUGUUAGAAUGUUGUUGGGGAAAACUUUUAUUUAAUUAUGCUACUAAUUCUUUAUUAACAAUUGGACUAUGUCGUUUUGAUUCAAUCAUUUCAAUUUGAACUUUGAAACUUA